rnacentral:tRNA from 1 species
UGGGCCUCGGAGCGCUGCGGGAGGUGCUCGUAGUCUCGCGCGUUGCGGGGGGCGUUCAUGAUCCAACCCAGCGUGCGUUCGACACGCCAGCGGCGUGG